AGUUACCAGCAUGUUAUGGUGGGCACUCUAAGGAGACUGCCGGUGACAACCGGAGGAAGUGGGGAUGACGUCAAGUCAUCAUGGCCCUUACGGCCUGGGCUACACACGUGCUACAAUGGUCGGUACAAAGGGUUGCCAAGCCGCGAGGUGGAGCUAAUCCCAUAAAACCGAUCGUAGUCCGGAUCGCAGUCUGCAACUCGACUGCGUGAAGUCGGAAUCGCUAGUAAUCGUGAAUCAGAAUGUCACGGUGAAUACGUUCCCGGGCCUU
rnacentral:rRNA from 1 species